GACGAACGCUGGCGGCGCGCCUAAUACAUGCAAGUCGAGGGAGAACCGAGCCUUCGGGCCCGGGGAGACCGGCGAACGGGUGAGUAACACGUGAGGAACCUGCCCUGUAGACCGGAAUAACCACGGGAAACUGUGGCUAAUGCCGGAUAUUCUCAGGCCUUCGCAUGAGGGCGUCGAGGAAAUGGUCCGCCGCUACAGGAUGGCCUCGCGGCCUAUCAGCUUGUUGGUGAGGUAACGGCUCACCAAGGCGACGACGGGUAGCUGGCGUGAGAGCGCGACAGCCACACUGGGACUGAGACACGGCCAGACUCUACGGGAGGCAGCAGUAGGGAAUCUUGCGCAAUGGGCGAAAGCCUGACGCAGCGA
rnacentral:rRNA from 1 species